rnacentral:rRNA from 1 species
AACGAACGCUGGCGGCAUGCCUAACACAUGCAAGUCGAACGAGACCUUCGGGUCUAGUGGCGCACGGGUGCGUAACGCGUGGGAACCUGCCCUUAGGUUCGGAAUAACUCCCCGAAAGGGGUGCUAAUACCGGAUAAUGUCUUCGGACCAAAGAUUUAUCGCCUUUGGAUGGGCCCGCGUUGGAUUAGCUAGUUGGUAGGGUAAAAGCCUACCAAGGCGACGAUCCAUAGCUGGUCUGAGAGGAUGAUCAGCCACACUGGGACUGAGACACAGCCCAGACUCCUACGGGAAGCAGCAGUGGGGAAUAUUGGACAAUGGGCGAAAGCCUGAUCCAGCAAUGCCGCGUGAGUGAUGAAGGCCUUAGGGUUGUAAAGCUCUUUUACCCGGGAUGAUAAUGACAGUACCGGGAGAAUAAGCACCGGCUAACUCCGUG